GCUUCUCCUCCGUUUUACCCCUCUAGUUCCUCCACUAAAGAGAUCAAUGUGACUCACAAGAAGGAACUGCAAACUGGGACAAGUAGCCGCAGUGCUCAUCCUUCUGUUUUAGGAGAUAAUUCUGCUGCGUCACAAUCAAAUUCAGUGUUACGAGGGAAGAAUGGCAGCGAUUCUGUUAGUAUUGACAAACUUCAUAUUUCUGAUCCUAUUACUGCUGUAGCUUCAAAGAUUUCACCCGGCUUGCAGUUGGCUCCUGGUUCCUCGACAAUAAGUCCUACUCAGUCACAACCAUUGAGAGGCCAAGGAAGAGGAUUUAAUGCAAUGCCAAAUGUGAAUUACCAAUCUCCUGUGAUAAACAACCAAUUCAACAGAGCUCCUCAGCCGACAAAUCUCAAUUCGACUCAGAGGAAUCCUGUUCUAGGUCGAGGGCAACCUACUUUCCAAGCUACUGGUCAACAGUUUGCUCAGCGAUCUGGUACUAGAUCUCAAGGUUCAUCUCCACCCAAAGCUGGACAAUCUAUCUCUGAAACUGG
rnacentral:misc_RNA from 1 species